AAGAAAAAUCACGUUUUUUACUCCUUUCUUCAUUUCUUUCCGAAUAGUUAUUGUUAUUAUUUUUUAUAAGAAGUUUGUUGGUGGGACGGAUUGUUAUUGGCGCCUUGUUAAGUCACACCCCGAACGGUAAGGUUAACUGACCGAAAGGAACAUGAAUAUUAAACAGGUCAUGUGAUCGAGUCUGUUGCUGACAUAAUUCAUCUGCCUCACAAGUGUUAUUAAAUCUACCGACAGCUGCUAAGGCAGCAACAAGCGGUUUUCUCGCUUCGCUGUAUAUCCUAGUGAGUAUAUAUUUUUGUUUACUUCAUUCAUUACAAAUACAUUCACACGACUUUACAUAUUUAUAAGAAGGAGUCGGGAUGUUGUAACAUCCUAUAUGUCUCAUAGCGUUUUACCGAAUCAAUGUGGAACUCGAAAUCGAAACCAGGACGCGAACUCUGUUCGUGUGGAUCUUACCUCUGCAACUGCGAUAUUCACACGCAGAUUUCCAUUAUUGAAAAGAUAUGAGUUUAAGAUGAGUAAGUGUAUACAUGCAUUUCCACGUACGUACGUAUACACGCACAACUACGCAUCUUGUAUAUUAUUCUGAUUUGUGUGUAUAUAUCUAUAUACUCACGUACACACACACAUAAAUUCAUUAAAGAGUAACAUUUAAGAUCGAGGUGUCUAUCAAAGUGAAGCACACCGCAUUAAUGGCUAUACGGUAAAACACAAAUCAACAGGUAAACAAUCCAGUGUCUCCACUGGUGUUUGGUAAUCCGCAACUUUGAGCUAACUUCAGCGUGGAGUAAAAUAACAAUAAAAACAAACCAAUUGAUCAUACUGUAUCACUGCAAUCGAUUCGUUCACAGAUUUUGUAUUGUAACACCGUACGAAUAUGUGUGAAGCGAAACAUCUCUGUGUUGUAGUAUCUUAUAAAUGUUGUACUUCUUGCAUACCUGCCUGUAAGGUGUUAGUUGCACAGCAAUGAAAUUUCUAAAUGAAACUAUUGUAGCGAUACCGUAUUAUUUAUUCGAUCGUUUUUAAUGUGAUUAUAUAUAUAUACAUACGUAUCUCUCUCUCUCUCUCUCUCUAUAUAUAUAUAUAUAUAUAUACAGACACACAUACACAUAUCUCUCUCUCUCUUUAUCUAUCUAUCCAUCUAUCUAUCUUAUCUAUCUAUCUAUCUAUCUAUCUAUCUAUCUAUCUAUCUAUCUAUCUAUCUAUCUAUCUUAUCCAUCUAUCUAUCUUAUCUAUCUAUCUAUCUAUCUAUCUAUCUAUCUAUCUAUCUAUCUAUCUAUCUAUCUAUCAAACUACAUGCACACACACACACAUACAUACACACCAUUGUUUGUAUCUUAUUUGUUUUGUUUUUUGUUGUUUUUUUGUUUUGCUUUUUGUAGUAAAGUGAUUUAUAGUUUUGAAAACAACUAUAAUUGAGGAGCGACUCGCUCUGAAUUAAUCUGGUCCGCGCGAAUGUUUACAUAAACUGCCAAAACUAACAACGGAUUUCUGAAACUCUCAUUGGUCGCUUCCUUUGAUUCCGACAGUCUUAUUUCUUCUGGUCUGGUUCAGGAAGUUGACAUUAUUUUUUGCACUAAAUGCCGUCUCAAGGAACGGGUACAUUGUCCACGAGCCUCACCGGUCUAGAGGCUCAAUGCUAAUCUUAUGUAUGCAGUGUUUUGCUAUCAAUAAACAAAUACUACAAAGCCAGAGUGCACGGCUUUGUUCGCGGGUUUUAUAAUGUUAUUUAGACGGUUCUGUUUGUACUCGUACCACCUUAGAUGGGGGUUCAUCACUUUCACAGACUUUCUCUUACUUGUUUUAGUCAUUAGACUGCGGCCAUGCUAGAGCAUCGCAAAUAACUGUCUUGUCUAACUGGUCUUUUGUGAGGUUGGUGUUUUCAAGUCCGCAUUCAUUUUUACGGGUUGUGCACCGCUUAGUCUGCCUAUAAGGCACUGGAGAACCUCGAAUGAUGUAGGCCCUUACAAAGCAGAGAAGUAGUCGCGAAAAAAAGAAGAAAAAAAGAGAAUCGGAUAUCAAAACGGCUAAUAGUAUUACUUCACAUUGACUGCUUCAUCUCCUUAACUAUUUCCCCCUCUUCCAUCGGCCCCUCUUCCUUGCACCAGGUACAAUAAGGCUGAGCUCACUGCGUGAAGGAAGAAUGAAAUUCUUAAUGUUGAAAGAGCUUGAAAAAAUCAGUUUGUCUUUUGGUGGGUGCGCCUUAGCAAACUGAUGACCUGCUGUUUAAGUGAUGGGAAAUGUUGGUGGAUAUCAAAUCACACACACACACCCUUUAUCAGUCAACGGAUUGCAGCCAAGCUGGUGCAGUCCUUGAAGGGUUUAGUCGCACAAACCCACCCUAGUACUCAUCUCUUUAAAAUAAGUCUGGCACUUAUUAUAUCGGUCUCUUUUGCCUAAACCGUAAGUUUACGGGGUUGUCAAGCGCUGGGGAGGGACUUACACACACACAUAUAUAUAUAUUAUAAUAAGAGAUACGAUGGUCUUUCACACAGUUUCCAUCAACCAAAUUCAUUAGUUGGGUAGAAACAAUGUGGUUGCAAGGCGAGCUUCUUAAUCACGCAUCCAUGUGUGUGUUUGUGUACAAAUACACACACACACACACACACACACACACACACACACACACACAUCUAUAUAUGUACACGCAGAAACACUCAUCAACGCUUAUCAUAUGUUUCGUUUUGUAAAAGAAAAAGUAACGUGUUUAUGGCAAAAUAGAAUAAAUAAGUAAAUAAGUAAAUAUUGAGAUCCAGUUCAGUGUGAAAUGCCCUCGCUCGUGUGAAUGUUUACAUAAGCUGCCAAAACCAACAACAGAUUUCCUAAAAUCUCAUUGGUUACUUUCUCUGAUUCCGAUGAACUUCUUAGGUUUUCUUUUUUCAUUUCUUCCUCUUCUCAUCGUGUCUAAUAUUCUUAUGUGAAGACAUGGAAUGAAGUGAAAGUUGACACAGAAUAUCUCGCAGAAUUAAGUGGCUUCCUCUUUUGGUUGGUAUGUGAAUGUUUGGAAAAUACGCACAAACACCUACAUACAUACACACACACACGUGAGGGAGCAGGUACGAGGAGUCACCUAUAUUUCUAAGAGCAUUACAGGUGCAAAACCAAUGGUUAGUUCUUGACCAGCCAUAACCAACGGCUAUAUUAUAUAUAUGUACACACAUAUAAUAGGUGCAGGCGCGACUGUGUGGUAGAAGCUUGCUUCCCAACAACAUGGUUUCGGGUUCAAUCGAAGGAGAGGAGCUGCCAGACGAGAUGGUGAAGAUGCCGACGACCGCUUUGUUCAAAGCCUCCCUGGACCUCAAGUGGCCUGAACUCUUUACAUGAACACCACCCUGUACUUAACUCCAUGUCCCCCUACAUGGCCUUGCUAUUUGCUUUUGAGCCAAAUUAACUAACUAACUAACUAACUAACUAACUAACUAACUUUGGGCAAGUGGCUUCUACUAUAGCUAGGGCCGACCAAAGCCUUGUGAGUGAAUUUGGUUGACAGAAACUGAAAAAAGAGAUCUUUUCGGUUUGAACGGCAGUUUUUAACAUAAUUUCUAGGUAACUAAAAAAUUUAAAACUUCGUAUACUGGUAGAAUGUGUUUAUAAAACAUCUUUUUCUCUUGGCUUUAUUGAGAAAAUUCUAUAGUUUGUAAGAUAUUUGUUGUUUUUUUUCUUCAAUUUCUGCAAUUUCAACCAAUCGCUGACGUCUAUUGAGGUAAAAAACAUUCUGUGCCGAAUGAAUAUGUCCAUGUUUAGGAAACAGAUUGGGUUUAUUUACAUUUGUGAAGAAAAAAAAAAGAUACCCUUCCCCCCACCCCUAACCCUAACCCUAAAAGAUAUUGAAAUGCAAUAGAUCGAUACUAGGGUCAUAAUUAUGGGUGACAAUUUCAUAUGGCACCACUAGAAAAAACUGCUGUUCAAACCGAAAAGUUCCGAAAAAAGUCCAUCGUAUGUAUAUGUUUGUCUCCCCACCAUCGCUUGACAAUCGAUGUUGGUGUGUUUACGUACCCACUACUUAGUGGUUCGGCAAAAGAGACCAAUAGAAGAAGUACUAGGCUUGCAAAGAAUAAGUCCUAGGGGCGAUUUGUUUGACUAAAUGACUGAAACAAGUAAAAGAAUAUAUAUAUAUAUAUAUAUAUAUAUAUAUAUAUAUAUAUAAAGUUAAUCCAAACAUGAAAACACAAAGAGAAAACACAACACGAGGACAUGGAACAAAUAUAGUAUUAUUGGACGCUCAGGAAGGAAGGGAAGAAGGAGGGUUUUACGUUUCGAGUGGAGCUCUUUGUCAGAAACAUAGGACAAGGUAAGAUCCAGAGAAGAGAAGACGGAGGAGAAAAAAUCGCCAACAGUACACACGUGGUCACAUUUUGAAUGACGUAUAUAUAUAUAUAUAUAUAUAUAUAUAUAUAUAUAUAUAUAUAUGGAGAUGUACUUGCAUAGCAAGUGACCUGAUCUGAGAUAGUGUGCUGAAACGAAAACAAUUGCAGCGUGGAAGGUGUUUAUAAGCCAUUUAAGAAACACACAAAAACCGUUAGAUUCACUUCAUCAUUUAAAUUUAAUUUGCCAAAAUAUUUUCGUCGCUUUGAGACCGCGACAUGUUCACUAACAAAAUUAAAUCUAAAUGGCAAAUUAGAUUUAAAUGAUGAAGUGAAUCUAAUGGUUUUUGUGUGUUUCUUAAAUGGCUUAUAAACACCUUCCAUGCUACAAUUGUUUAUAUAUAUAUAUAUAUAUAUAUAUAUAUAUAUAUAUAUAUAUAUAUAUGUGUGUGUGUAUGUGUUUCUUAAAUGGCUUAUAAACACAUUCCCCGCUGCAAUUGUUUAUAUAUAUAUAUAUAUAUAUAUAUAUAUAUAUAUAUAUAUAUAUAUAUACAUAUACAUACAUACAUACAUACAUACAUACAUAGGUGCACACACAUACACACAGAAAUAUAUGCAUAUUUUAUAGAUAUACACAAUAUUAAUAAUUGUACAUAGUUUUAUCUGAUUGAAUGAAUAAAUGAAAUUAAAGCAUUAGCCUGAUAGAAUAGAGUUAUAUUAUUUCAUAGGAUUAUUUCAUCAGAUUAUUUUGUUAUAUAUAUUUAUAAAGAUAGGAUGAUUAUACUGAAGAAUGAAGGAUAAAAUAAAGUUGAAUGAAAUUUACAGCUUGACUGUAGUAGCUUGGCAAAUGGUAAUUUUUUUUUCUUUUAGAGGCUGCUGGCUGAGAAAAUCUAUUGCAUCAGUCCUCAAAAUAAUGCUGGUAUUCGUUUUAUCAACCCAGCAGGGAUGAAGCAAAGUUGAUCGGUUCAGGUUUUGAUGACAUUGAACAUAUAAUGCUAAUUUCGCAAUUAAACAUGUUUUGAUGAAAGGGUAUGAGGAGUAAUGACACUUACCCCUGCCUAAUAAGUCUAAUAAUGCAAAGUAAAUGAACUAGUUCAAACUGGGAAUUCAGAUAUGCUCACCAAUAACUUACUGUCACCUUUUUAAUGAAAGGAGUGAAUGGGCCUAAUUUUGUAAAGUAAAAAGACUAUGAAGUGAGAGCAAUUGAAUUGAUAUUUUUAUUUACAUGGGUGGGCUGGUUAACUUGUUGAAACAAAUGUUUUUGCAGCUAAAUACUCUUCCUACUGUGAAGUACAGACGACUUGUUCUGGGACCCAACACAAUGGCAGUAAUAACAGACCAUAUGCUCUGUUAAAGUAAUGGACCACUGACCAAUGUUAUAAAACCAGGUCUUAUUACAGUUAUAGUAGGAAGUAUCAAAGUGAAAAAUAUUUUAUUUUGCUUGCUCCAGUUUACCUGAAAAUGUACACAAUUACGUGUAAAACAGGUUUUUUUUUAAAAUCAACUGUUUCCUUUUUCUUACAAAAUAGUUCUUGAAGAAAAUUGACUGAUACAGUUUGUAGGUAUCAACUAAUUUAUUGACCCCCUUUUUAGUCAAUAUUUUAGUAUUUCUCGUCUAUGCUGCACUGAGUCCUGAACCAAGACUAAACUCUUUUUAAAUUGACCUGUUUAACUGUGUGUAGUUCAAGGUUACUAUUGUAACAAACAUAAAUAUACACAGGGUACAAAUGAAUGUUUAAAAUUUUAUAUUGUAAAACUCUAAUUUAUAUCAACUUCACUUUACAAUUCAAAAUGUGCAACUGAUUAAAACCAACAUAUAUCUCUAAAACAUUUAAUUCAAUGGCAAUUAUAUGAAGAGACAUUCAGCAACAACAUAUUUGAAUUUUUGAAAAUAUAGGGAAAAACACUUUAAAAAAAGUGUUUGAAAUGAAAUUAAAGAAAAGGUACAUAUCGUAAUUAAUGUCAAAACAAACAUUUUAUUUUUUCAUGUCACUAUGGUUAUCAACGAGCAAAAGCAGAUAAAGCCCAUACAAUAUAAUAAUUUGAGAGUGUAUUCAUGAAAUGUCAAAUGUUUUUAAACUGAGCUAAGAUAGGUUAAAAGGAACUGCACAUUUUCUCUUCAAAUAGAUGAACUUUGCUAGUUGAGUAGUUUUGCUUGUGUUGGUACACUAAACUUAUGAAUGUAGUGCUGAAGAAAACUUAUCAAUCUCUCAGCUAUGAGGAAAGUAAUAUUUAAUUUAAUUAAUCUAUUGUAGAAAUAUAAAAUUUCCGAAUAACUGUUCAAAUAUUUGGGUAUGGGAAAUUUCUGAUCCUGUUGCAAAAAUUAAAAAGUAAAAUGUUUGAUGCUGUUAAACGAGUUGAUUUUUAAUACAUCAAAGCCACUAAAGGCAACAAUCUUCCAUCUAUGUUCAAGAUAUGGUAAGCCUGCAUCCUUAUCUCUAUAUACUCUAGUUAUUGCUGAUAAGUGUUGGCACAGUUUUAUGAAGUAUUUGAAGAACUUGGGUUAUUUCUAAGAAAACCUUUUUAGACUUUCAACUAAACUAAAAGAUUGAUUUGAAAGGGAGAAAAUGAUAUAACUUUUUGAUAGGAUACCAAUACAACAUGGUGCAAAGUACAAAAUAUAAUUAAUCAACUUAAGUGUAAACAAAAACUGUUGUAGUGAGUUUGUAGCUAUGGUUGAUAUUUAAUGUUUUGAAAACUUUAAACAUACCACUUCCACAGUGCAUUCAUAAAAUGUCUAAUUUUUAUGAAACUGAGCUAAGACAUGUUAUAUAUGAGCUCAGCAUUCUCUCUUCAAAUAGAUGAGUCAACAGGCUAAGUCAGGAUACAACAGGCUUAAUUUUGCAACAAUUGUGUUGUGUGUGUGUGUGUGAAUCAGUAACAGGUAAUUGUCUGAUUGAAAUUGAAUAUAAUUUCAAAUAGGUUUACAAUUUUGGUUAAACUUAAGCAAAAAGACAUCACAACAAAUUUUACCUUAAAAUCAAAAAUCCAACUAGUAGAAAUUACAAAAAUUUGGUUCGCAUUAUUAAUGAACUGUCAACCAUAAAUGCAAAAACUUAAACAGUAUUAAUGUGAUUUCUAACUUCAUAUUUAUGUGAAGGAACAUUUUCGCUGUAUUCAAAGACAAAAAUAAAUUUAGGGAAACUGAUUUAAGGUUGCAAGUAACAUCUAUAAUUCCAACAUCGGGACUCUCUGUGAUGAGAAACAGGCUUAAUGAAGUUACUAACUUUUAUCUUAAUUGCAAAGUUUAAUUUUUCAAACCAUUUAGGUAAGCAAAGUUACUAAUUUAUAUUGGCACAGUGUUAUUUUAAAGCUUAUUUACUGCAUGACAAUAUUUUUUAGAGCUAUUUUAGGUUCUAAAAAUUUUCUAAUCUUCAAGAUUACAUAAAUAUAAAAAGUUUGAAAAACCUCAACACAGACUACUGAAAGUAGAGAUAGCUAGGUGGAUAGAGCAUUAGAUAACCAACAAAGAGGUUCAUAUCCUGUUCUGGCAAUUCAGUGUGUUUGUGGUUAGAAGACAUAACUCUGAAAUUAUUCAGUAUACUAAACUGAAAAUUAUUACUCUACAGGUAGGAACAUGUCACAAGUUUAAAUAACAACAGUAGUUUUUUAUAGUUGCAAUGUUGAAUUCAGUUUUAUCAGUUUUUUUUUUUUAUAUAUAUUGUAAGUUAAGAGGAAGUGCUCUAGACAAAUGAUUUCAUCUUGAAUUUCCUGAUAGAUAACUACAGGGAAGAUUUGAGCAAAAUAUUUAAUUAAGAGUUUUCUGGGGUGAGACACAUAAAGAUGAUGAAAGAAGAACAUGAGCCAAUGUAGCAGUAGAAGAGAUAAAAGGAGAACACAGUGUAGCAAUAUCAUAAUGAUUAUUUGUAUAUACACCAACAUUUUUUUCAUUUGCUCGACAAUUAGAAUGCUGGUCAAUAUAGCAACUACUUGUUUCAGAUGCAUGAGCAGUGUGUAGUGCGUGGUAUACAUGUAGUCUAUAUAAAGUUAACAAGUGUUCAGAAUUGAAGUAAUUUCUAGCUCUGGAGAGAAAGCAAUUUUAGUUCUUUUACAAAUGAUGCCACCAUGGGAGGCUUAAAUUUUGCAAACUAGUGAAAGUUUUACUUGCAAAUUGUUUGUAUGUAUGUGUGCAUGCAUGCAUGGAUGUACACCUGCAUGUGUGUAUGUGUGUCUGUACAUGUAUGUAUGUAAUUAUACACACAGGCAUACUACCUUGGAUCUAGAUGAACCAUCCAAGCCAUGCUAGCAUGACAAACAGACUGAACCACUCCAUCAUCGUCACCACUUUAUUCCUCUCCCCUUCUUUUUCAUGCUUAUCCCUGACAUUACUCUUCCCCUUUCUCUCUCCAUUACUCCCACCCAACCAUUCUCCCUUCUUUAUUCUUUCCUCACAAUAAAUCUGCUCCAUCCAUAAUGCUUGGCAGAGUGGUGGAGGCUUUCUUUUUCAUUGCAUGCUGCUAAGUAAAAUGCUGGUGUGACAAAACAUAGCCAGUGCACUUUGUGUAAGUGGAGGGUAAUUGAUUCAAGCAGUAACAAUGCAAGGCUUGAGAAGGGUCUUUAGUCUUAGUAGCAGCAAAGCAACCUCUAUAGAGCUGGUACUACAAAAAAGAAAAAGCAUCUGGUACACUCUGAUUGGUAUUAGGAAGGGCAUCAGCCUGUAGAAAUUGUCAAAAAUGAGACACUGAAGCAAGAUGGGACAUUAAGACUUGUUGGAUCCUGUGUAAGCAUUCAGCCUCUGCAUGGAAAUUGGACAUAAACUGAUGAGGACUUACAUCUAUUCAUUUAUUUAUUUUACAUCCAUUUUUCUAUGCUACUGUAAAUUAGAUGAAUAUAUUAUUGAAGCAUUGUUUUACAGACAAAUGCUGUCCCAGUUGCUAACCCUUACCUAUUUUUCAAGCAAAGGCAUGAAGUGAUUGCAUAAGUUAUUGAGAGGAAAAGUGCCAACAACAACACUACUCAAACUUGUAACUUUUGAAUAAGCUGUUACAGUUGCAAACAAACAUGCAGACAUACAACUACACACACACACACACACACACACGUGUAUGUAUCGAUAUUACAUAUACAGGACAUAAAAUGUCUUUAAUUCAAAACAGAUCCAGAAAUUAAUGCAAGCAUUUGUCAGCAUUUCUGUGAACUGGUGGAAUGUUAAGGCAUUCAAGAAAAUGUCUUGCAGUCUUUAGUCACAUCCCUUUACAUACUGAAUUCAAAUCCUGCUGAAGCAACUUGCUUUUCCUCCUUUCAUAGUCAAUCAAAUAAGUAUUGUCAAUCAGUCAAUCAAUUUGACUGUUCCUCCACACAAAAUUUCUAACCAAGCACCAGUGUUACAAAUUGAUAUUUAUGAUCUUUUGAUGUGGUUAUUAUUAUUUUUAUUCCUUUCUAUUAUAAGCACAAGGUCUGAAAUUUGGUCUAGUCCAUUAUACUGAUCCCAGUGCUUGGCUAGUACUUAUUUUAUCAACCCCCAAAAAGAUGAAAGGCAAAAUCAAUCAUGGCAGAAUUUGAAAUCAGAAUGUAAAGACACAUGAAAUGCUACUAAGCAUUUUACCCAGUGUGCUAAUAAUUUUGUCAGCUCACCAUUUGGCUUUUAUAAUAAAUAUUAACAAUUAACAUAUUACAAACAUUAUAAGCUUUGAUAAGAUAAUAAUUAACAUUUGUAUAUUGGUUAUGAUUGUACAAACAACAUUUUCCUUUCUUGUCUCCCAGAUAUACACUCCCAAAAACUCAUGUAUAGAUAUCAAGUUUAUUUGUCAUUUUGUCAAAAUAUAAUUUAGAAUUAGUCAAGCAGACUAGAAAAGAGAGUAAAAAUAUGUUACUGUAACUGCAAUUUCUUAUUUUAUCUCUGGAAUGAAAGUAAAUAUUUAAGCAAGAAAAGAUAUCAAUUGGACAAUAUUUGCCAUUGAUUUACAGUUUAGAUUUUUUUUAAUGUGUGUUUUUCUUUGUAAAUAUUCCUAUGUCUAAUAAAAGGAUAAAAAAAAAUAAAAGAACAGUUUUUUACAGAUGUAGAAAAUUUCCCAAAAUUUUGAUGAGCUCAUUUGCUUUUGCACAACUUAGUAAACUGGAUACACAUUUAUUGAUUUUGUAGUCCCUGUAAGACAGUAAUGUUAUAAUUUUUUUUGAUAACAAAAAAUUUGGUUUUUGAAGUGUGUUUUUCUUUGCAAAUAUUCCUAUUUCUAUUAAAAAGGAUUUUAAAAAAAUUAAAGAACAGUCUUUUACAGAUGUAAAAAAAUUUUCGUUCCAUGGUGUCAUUUCAAUUAAAGUAAAGGGUCUUAUUGAAAUCAAUAUACAAUACUUGGGGCCUGCAGUUUAUUAGUUUUGAAUCUUCCCAAACGAUGAAUCAUAUUUCAAUUAUGUCACUGAGAGUACUGGAGCACUCAGCUAACAGUUGCAAAAGUAAUAAAUAAAUAAAACAUACAGGAUUUGUAUCCAUAUGUAUAAAACUGAGAAUGUGUGUGUGAGUGCAUGUGUAUGUAUGCAUCACUAGAACUCAAGAACUAACCAACUGAUUUCAUUCAAGGUUUACACAUGCAUUACUUAGGCUCCAUGGAGUGUCAUGGGCAAAAAAAAAAUGUUCAACUUCUUGCCUAAUGUGAGCCCAGAUAAAAUCUCUUAGACUGUUUCAGUAUUAUGUGUCAAAGCAGAAACAAUGACAUCUCUAUUGUAACGUGAUAUAAAAGUUUCACAUUUAGAAAUUCAAUAUUUCUAAUUUCGGUGAUCAGUAAAUAAAUUUUACUGAUAAUAUGAUAUAUUUGCAAAGGGGUUGCAGUCAUCUCAGCGAGCGAGACUGGCUGCCCUGGACCGACAACGAGCAAUAGACUCAGAAACAUAAGUCUUCAGGUGCUUAGUCCAAGCUGGCGGGGGUGAUUGCCUCCCCUUUGCAAAUAUAAGGACACAGAAAAUAUGUCAAAGCUGACAGGAGACGUCGAUGUUUCCUAGGGUUAAAUGGCAGUGGUGUAAUUCCCUUACAAGACUGUCACAUUGAGUUGACAGUAUACGACCACUAUAUAUAUAUAUAUAUAUAUAUAUAUAUAUAUAUAUAUAUAUAUAUAUGUAUGUAUAUAUAUAUAUAUGUAUAUAUAUGUAUAAAUGUGUGUGUGUGUGUGUAUAUAUAUAUAUAUGUAUUAUAUAUGUAUAUAUAUAUCUAUAUAUAUAUGUAUAUAUAUAUAUAUAUAUAUAUAUAUAUAUAUAUAUAUUUAUAUGUAUAUAUAUGCAUGUAUAUAUAUAUGCAUAUAUAUAUACAUAUAUGUAUAUAUAUAUGCAUAUAUAUAUACAUGCAUAUAUAUACAUACACACAUGUGUAUAUACACAUGAGUAUAUAUAUUUAUGUAUAAAUAUAUAAAUAAUGAUAUAUCAUCAUCAUCAUUUAAUGUCCAUUCUCCAUGCUAGCAUGGGUUGGACUGUUCGACAGGGGAUCUGGGAAGCCAGAAGGCUGCCCCAGGCUCCAGUCUGAUCUGGCAGUGUUUCUACAGCUGGAUGCCCUUCCUAACGCCAACCACUCCGAGAGUGUAGUGGGUGCUUUUUACGUGCCAGGUGAGGCUGGCAACGGCCACGAUUGGAUUGGUGCUUUUUACGUGCCACCGGCACAGAAGCCAGUCUAGGUGCCGCUGGCAUUGGCCACGUUUGGAUGGUACUUUUUACAUGCCAGUGGCACGGAAGCCAGUCUAGGCGGCGCUGGCAUCGGCCACGUUCAGAUGGUGCUUUUUAUGUGCCACCGGCACAGGGACCACAACUGCAGUUUCCAUUGAUCUUUGAUGUUGGUGUCCUUGACUCAAUGGAUCUCUUCAAGCACAGGGUCAAAACAGUGUUUCUUUACUUGCCACCUGCACAGGAGUCAGUCCAGCAGCCCUGGAAACUGCCGGGUGCCAGUCAUAGGAUUGUCUCAACAGGUCUUCGUGUGUCCAAGGAAGGAAAGGCAUGCAUAAGUGGGCUGGCUACAUCCCUGGCAAGGGACACAGGAUGGACUCACUUGUUCUGCCGGGUCUUCUCACGUACAGCAUAUUUCCAAAGGUCUCGGGCACUAGUCAUUGCCUCGGUGAGGCCUAAUGUUCGAAGGUCGUGCUUCACCACCUCGUCCCAGGUUUUCCUGGGUCUGCCUCUUCCACGGGUUCCCUCAACUGCUAGGGAUUGGCACUUUUUCACACACCUAUCUUCAUCCAUUCUUGCCACAUGACCAUACCAGUAUAGCCCUCUCUCUUGCACACCACAACUGAUGCUUCUUAGGUCCAACUUCUCUCUCAAGGUACUUACACUCUGUCGAAUAUGAACACUGACAUUACACAUCCAUCGGAGCAUACUGGCUUCAUUCCUCAUGAUGUUACGCAUGUCCUCAGCAGUCAGGCCCAUGUUUCACUGCCAUGUAGCAUGGCUGUUUGUACACAUGCAUCAUACAGUCUGCCUUUUACUCUGAGCGAGAGGCCUUUUGUCACCAGCAGGGGUAAGAGCUCUCUGAACUUUGCCCAGGCUAUUCUUACUCUAGCAGUUACACUUUCAGCACACCCACCCCCGCUACUGACUUGGUCACCUAGGUAACGGAAGCUAUCAACUACUUCUAGUUUUUCCCCCUGGAAAGUGACGGAAGAUGUUUUCUGCAGAUUUUCAGUGUUUAUUGCUCCUGAGCAUCUGCCUCAUACAAUAACUAUCUUCCCAGUUCGCCUUCCUUUGACAUUGCUGCACCUCUUAAGUGUCCAUAGCUUACACUGGGUACAUCUUAUAGAGUUUCUACCUACGCCUUUUCUAUAGAUCGAGCAGGUGUUUGUGGUUUGUCUACCUUCCUACUUAUUAGGACUUUUGUUUUAGUUAGGUUGGUUUGUCUACCUUCCUACUUAUUAGGACUUUUGUUUUAGUUAGGUUGACUCUAAGACCCUUCGAUUCUAAUCCUUCCUUCCACACCUGAAACUUCUCCUCCUGUUCUGAUAGUGACUCAGCAAUUAGAGCAAGAUCGUCAGCGUAGAGGAGCUCCCAGAGACAUCCUGUCUUGAAUUCCUCUGUAAUUGCCUGGAGGACUAUGAUAAAUAGGAGGGGGCUGAGGACUGAACCCUGGUGGACCCCAACCUCUACCUUGAAUUCUUCAGUGUACAUGUUGCCAACCCUUACCUUACUUACAGCGUACCUGUACAUGGCUUGCACAGCUCUCACUAGCCAUUCAUCUAUCCCUAAUUUCCUCAUUGACCACCAGAUAAGGGAUCGGGGGACCCUGUCAAAGGCUUUCUCCAUGUCAACAAAAGCCAGGUACAGGGGCUUAUCUUUGGCUAGGUAUUUUUCCUGCAGCUGUCUCACCAGGAAUAUGGCAUCAGUGGUGCUUUUCCCUGGCACGAACCCAAACUGCAUCUCGUCCAAGUUGACUCUCUCCCUAAUCAAUUGGGCUAUGACCCUCUCCGUAACCUUCAUUACCUGAUCCAACAGCUUCAUACCUCUGUAAUUAUUUGUAUCUAGGGCGUCACCUUUACCUUUGUUGACUAUUAUGUCACCUUUACCAGUUGACUAUUAUGCUGCUACACCAGUCAUUGGGUAUGACUCCUUCGUGUAUCACCUGGUUAACUAUACAAGUGACUAGGCUAUAGCUGACACUGCUAGAUAUUUUGAGCAUCUCUGCAGUAAUUCCUGAUGGGCCUGGGGCUUUCCCUAUCUUCAUGCUUCUAAUUGCCUUUACUACCAAAGAAUAUAUAUAUAUUUAUGCUUAAAUAUUGCUUAACCAUAUUCUCGCACCAUCUCCGAUGACAGGACAUAUAAAAUAUCCCGGAAGCAGCUGUAAGACCUUCUCUUUAUAAAUGUUCAGGAAUCUUUCACAGCCUUGGAUUUUUAUCUCAUUCUGUUAAUUUAUAUAUAUAUAUAGGGAGAUUUUACGAAAAAAACAAAGGACAAAGAGAGGUGGUGUAUUAGUAUAACGCUCAAGAAUAGAAAAAAUAUAUAUAUAUAUAUAUAUAUAUAUAUAUAUAUAUAUAUAUAUAUAUAUAUAUAUAUACACAUAUAUAAUUGCUAAAUAGGAUAGUAAACAUUAAGGCAAGGCAAGUAUCUCAAGUUGUAUACAAUAUCAUUGUUGGAAGAAAUUCAAAACCUUACAGCUGUUUCUGGGAUAUCCCUGAGUAUGUGAUAUUCCGUUUUCAGAGACAAAUAGGGAAAAUGAGAAUGGUAUACAUUAAUAAAAUGAUGUUGUAGCACUUACCUAGCACUCCUAAUUGUUUAGAUCACCUGUGAACUAAACCCCCAUACUUUGUAUAUAUAUAUACACACACACAUAUAUACAUAUAUAUAUGUAUAUAUAUAUAAUAAAAAUAAAUUCAUUAAUUAAUUCAUAAAAAUGUAUAAAUUUUGAUUGAUUUUUGUUUCUUCCUUUCUUUUUUCUUCAACAGAGCUGCUGUAAAACAUCAAUAUGAAGCUUGAAUAUUUCUAUGAUAAAAAACUUAUUCCACUUUCUGACAAAAACAAAUUAACCAAAUGUAACCAAAUCACUACUCGGGUAAUCUUUAUCUUCAUCCUCUUUGCUGGAUUAUCACAAAUUGGUCUUGGAAUAGGACUCUUACUCUCAUGCCGCAGCAAUCUAGAAAAUAUAUCCUGUGCCUUCUCUUUAAAGGCCCAUCCAUGCACUGGAUUAGUGAUACCAACCUACCUUGGUUGUUUGGUUAUUUGUAUUGCUCUAUUUGGAUUUGGAUUUCUUGGACGCCGAGCUACUGCUAUCUUACUAGCUAUUGCUAUGACUGCAGAAAUCUACUUUGGUUUAAUGUCAAUCUAUGCUGAACCAGUUUUAUUUACUGACUAUUUUCGAGUUUUUAAUUCAGUCCAAAUAUGCCCCCAGAAUUCCUCCAGCCCAGAUAAUCUUAUAAAGUGCUGGAAUGGCAUCACACAAUUAUACCCAUAUUGUUUUAUCUACAGAAAUUUAAUAAGGACAGACUGUAUGCAAGGAUAUGAUCUUUAUUUCACACAAUUUAAUGAAACUUUAUCAUCAACAAACAUUGAACCAUGUGUCACUGAUAUUAGCAUGGCUGUGAGUUCCAUUUAUACAGGUUAUCGAUAUUUUGCAGGUCCUCUUAUGUUGCUAAAUGCCACGCUCUGUCUUUUACUAGUUCCAGGUUUAGAUUUCUUAUACCAACAAAAUAUAGAACUGAAUGAAUCUCAUGUGGUUUCAGGACCAAAAGAACUUCAAAGACAAAAUAUUUCUUCAUCUGUAUGAUCCUCUUUCUACAUUUGUAAAUUAUCGUUUGAAUAUGGAAAGAAAAUUUACAUUUCACAAUAAAAAUGGUCUCAUCUAGCAGACAAAAUUAAACAGAGAAGUACUGGAAAUAUAUCUCAUUAAAAUAUUUAGUACUCUCUUCUAAAUAUCCUUGUUCCCAGCUGUUAUGAAAAGACUCUCUCUCUCUUUUGGAAUGGGAGCCAAUAUAAGGGUGAUCUUAUAUUAUAUAAACACUAAGAAAAUAUAUCAGUUUUCAGAUGACAUCAGCAUAUUAAUAGCUGAAGCUAACAACAAACUGGUCUGAUAUAGAGAACAUAUUAUUUAUUUCACAUCAUGCAUGUUCUGGAUUUACAUACUGUUAAACUAAAUCAGAAUGUGCAAAAGUCAAGUGACUUCAGAUCUAUGUCAAAUUUAUAUAUCCUAUAAUAACUAAGGGAAAAUAGCUUAUUUGUUGAAAUUAAAUUCUUGAAAAGAAAGCAUCUACUUUAUUGGUCUCUAGUACUAAUUAAUGAAGUACUGAUGUUGAGGUAAUCAUUGAUUCAUUAUGUGUCGCAUGUCAUAUAUAAUAAGUUGAUACAGUUCAGAAUGUCUACAUAUAAACUAUAUCUACAUACUUAAAGUUGUCAGUUACUACCUCCAUUAUAUGUAGUAGCAUUGCCUUUGCUUCAAACUGGCCUGGUUUUGCGGAUUAUUUGAUACAUUUUAGGAAGAUUCCUUCUGAGGUAUCAAUGUCACUAUUACUGACUAGCAGUAUCGCCCGGCGUUGCUCAGGUUUGUAAGGGAAAUAACUAUAAAGCAUUUUUAGAGAGUUAUAGCCAAAAAAUGGAAAAAAAUGAUGGUAAAUUUUUUUUGAGAGUAAAAAAAGGUGGAGUUGCGUCCCCUAGACGGUUUAUGUUUCUGAUUCUCGACCCCAUGUCGAAUUUAUCGAUUUUUUUCAGAACUGAGGGAACUUUUCAAAAUUUUCGCUGCGUUAGUUUUGAAUUAUGACAUUGGGCUAUGUGUGUGUCAAGUUUCAUCAGAAUCGGUUGAAAGCCGUGGUCAGGGUGAGGGUACAAGCAAACAGACACACAGAAACACGCACAGACAAACUGCCGUUUAUAUAGAGAGAGAUAAUCAAAACUGGAUAAUUUAUUGUCAAAUGAAUAUUCUUUCACAAACCCACCAUUAUCUGAUUGGACUUUAAAACUGAUUUAUUAAAAUAAUAUUUCAUUUAUAUUUCAAAUGUUCUGAAAUUGAAAUUAUUAUUGCUCUCUCUCCCCCCCCCUCUCUCUCUUUCUCUGCCAGUGGUAAAGUGACAGAAUCAUUAAAGCAUUAGACAAAAUGCUUUGUGGUAUUAGUGUAAGCACUUAGUAUCCUGAGUUCAAAUCUUGCUGAGGUCAACUUUGCCUUUCAUCUGGGGUUGAUAAAAUAAAGUACCAACCAAGCACUGAAGUUGAUAUAAUUGAUCCAUUAACCCAAAGUUUCAGGCCUUUUAUCUGUGUUAGAAACAGCUCUAAAGACAAAAGAACUCAGUGAUCAGAAGAAUGAAUAAAAGUUGUAGGAAUUACUAAUAUAAUGGAAGGGAAGAUAGAUUGAUGGU
rnacentral:lncRNA from 1 species